GCUAUAAUGCAAGUCGAACGCGUUGGCCCAAUUGAUUGAUGGUGCUUGCACCUGAUUGAUUUUGGUCGCCAACGAGUGGCGGACGGGUGAGUAACACGUAGGUAACCUGCCCAGAAGCGGGGGACAACAUUUGGAAACAGAUGCUAAUACCGCAUAACANCGUUGUUCGCAUGAACAACGCUUAAAAGAUGGCUUCUCGCUAUCACUUCUGGAUGGACCUGCGGUGCAUUAGCUUGUUGGUGGGGUAACGGCCUACCAAGGCGAUGAUGCAUAGCCGAGUUGAGAGACUGAUCGGCCACAAUGGGACUGAGACACGGCCCAUACUCCUACGGGAGGCAGCAGUAGGGAAUCUUCCACAAUGGGCGCAAGCCUGAUGGAGCAACACCGCGUGAGUGAAGAAGGGUUUCGGCUCGUAAAGCUCUGUUGUUAAAGAAGAACACGUAUGAGAGUAACUGUUCAUACGUUGACGGUAUUUAACCAGAAAGUCACGGCUAACUACGUGCCAGCAGCCGCGGUAAUACGUAGGUGGCAAGCGUUAUCCGGAUUUAUUGGGCGUAAAGAGAGUGCAGGCGGUUUUCUAAGUCUGAUGUGAAAGCCUUCGGCUUAACCGGAGAAGUGCAUCGGAAACUGGAUAACUUGAGUGCAGAAGAGGGUAGUGGAACUCCAUGUGUAGCGGUGGAAUGCGUAGAUAUAUGGAAGAACACCAGUGGCGAAGGCGGCUACCUGGUCUGCAACUGACGCUGAGACUCGAAAGCAUGGGUAGCGAACAGGAUUAGAUACCCUGGUAGUCCAUGCCGUAAACGAUGAGUGCUAGGUGUUGGAGGGUUUCCGCCCUUCAGUGCCGGAGCUAACGCAUUAAGCACUCCGCCUGGGGAGUACGACCGCAAGGUUGAAACUCAAAGGAAUUGACGGGGGCCCGCACAAGCGGUGGAGCAUGUGGUUUAAUUCGAAGCUACGCGAAGAACCUUACCAGGUCUUGACAUCUUGCGCCAACCCUAGAGAUAGGGCGUUUCCUUCGGGAACGCAAUGACAGGUGGUGCAUGGUCGUCGUCAGCUCGUGUCGUGAGAUGUUGGGUUAAGUCCCGCAACGAGCGCAACCCUUGUUACUAGUUGCCAGCAUUAAGUUGGGCACUCUAGUGAGACUGCCGGUGACAAACCGGAGGAAGGUGGGGACGACGUCAGAUCAUCAUGCCCCUUAUGACCUGGGCUACACACGUGCUACAAUGGACGGUACAACGAGUCGCGAACUCGCGAGGGCAAGCAAAUCUCUUAAAACCGUUCUCAGUUCGGACUGCAGGCUGCAACUCGCCUGCACGAAGUCGGAAUCGCUAGUAAUCGCGGAUCAGCAUGCCGCGGUGAAUACGUUCCCGGGCCUUGUACACACCGCCCGUCACACCAUGAGAGUUUGUAACACCCAAAGUCGGUGGGGUAACCUUUUAGGAGCCAGCCGCAUAAG
rnacentral:rRNA from 1 species